rnacentral:rRNA from 1 species
AAUGAACGCUGGCGGCAGGCCUAACACAUGCAAGUCGAACGGAUCCUUCGGGAUUAGUGGCGGACGGGUGAGUAACGCGUGGGAACAUACCCAAAGGUACGGAAUAGCCUCGGGAAACUGGGAGUAAUACCGUUUGUGCUCGAAAGAGGAAAGAUUUAUCGCCUUUGGAUUGGCCCGCGUUGGAUUAGGUAGUUGGUGGGGUAAUGGCCUACCAAGCCGACGAUCCAUAGCUGGUUUGAGAGGAUGAUCAGCCACACUGGGACUGAGACACGGCCCAGACUCCUACGGGAGGCAGCAGUGGGGAAUCUUAGACAAUGGGGGAAACCCUGAUCCAGCCAUGCCGCGUGAUCGAUGAAGGCCUUAGGGUUGUAAAGAUCUUUCAGGUGGGAAGAUAAUGACUGUACCACCAGAGGAAGCCCCGGCUAACUCCGUGCCAGCCGCCGCGGUAA